rnacentral:lncRNA from 1 species
AUAUAUUUUUGAAGAUGGAUAGCAUUAAAAUUGACAUGAAUAAAUGAAGUGUAGUUAAGAUUGAAAAGUAGCGUUGUUGAAUUUGUGUUUAGUUUUUGUUUGUGUGUGUGUUGCUUUGAAUUUAGCGUUUAUUGUGGUGAGAUAAGAUGACUUAAGAAGCGGGGAAAGAGCCGACCAUUAGGUAUUGAAAAGCAAAGUCAAAAAUAAAAAUGAUACGAAAAGUGACACAAUAAUCAUACUUGAAUUCUGAAACUGUAUGUGUAAGUAUGUCUGCUGUUUUGCUUUAAGAAGCAACACGUACGUACGUAAUUGGCAAGCCACAAGAAUAACACAUUUUUUCUUUCUUCCCAAAAAAGAUCAUCAUCCUAAAUUCAAAAACCCCUCAAUUUCUCUUCUUGGGGUCAAUAAUUUUUGCCAAUUCAUCCACUUCCCAAC